rnacentral:tRNA from 1 species
UAUUGUUAUUUUGGCAGAUUAGUGCAUUAAAUUUAGAAUUUAAGAAUGUAAUUAUUACAAAUAAUACU